AAAAAAAUACCUCCCUCCCUGUUAAAAAAAAAAAUAAAAACAGAAACACGCUCUUUCCUUUCCUUAAGGCCGGAGGAGAAAGCUCCGCUUCAGCUUCCUUGCCCCAAGCAUCCAUCCUCGCCCCAGGGGCCCCUCAUUGUCCCGAACGUCCCUCUUACACCCAACACGCCUUCGUUGCCAGCGAUUUCAAGUACGCGCCAGAGCAGUUCUCACUCGGGGUGGUUUUUGCGGGAAUCUUGGCGUGUUGAGGAGGUGUUUGUUGUCAGGAGGAGGAAGGGUGAGGCUGGGGAAUGGGUGGGACAUUUCUCCAGCUCUCUGAGGUGGUGGUGUAGGUUAUCCUUCCCCGCACAACAUCACCAAAAAGAGGUGACAGGCUCAGACAUUGGAUAGCUUAUUUUUGGUUGUGUUUUUGUGUGUGGUUUUUUUAUUAUUAUUUUUUUUUUAAAUUUUUUUAUUUUCCCAGUCAGUUUUUGCCACAUCAUUAUGGGUUAAUAUUUUAGGGAGGAUAAGUUGUUAAGUAUUAGUAGCUGGGAGUGUUGAGAAUGUGCUGAGGAAGGCCAUGGACCUGUUCAAAGUUCAAAGGAGGGGCAGCAAGAUGAUCCGAGGACUGGAGCACUUCUGUGAGGAAAGGCUGAGAGAAUUGGGGUUGUUCAGCCUGGGAAAGAGAAGGCUUCAAGGAGACUUAACAGCAACUUCCUUUGUGCACCUAAGGAGGAAGGCUGAGGAAAAGACAUAUGCCUAGCACAGAUUUCAGGCUUCUGGACAUCAGG